rnacentral:rRNA from 1 species
GAUGAACGCUGGCGGCGUGCCUAAUACAUGCAAGUCGAGCGAACAGAUGAGGAGCUUGCUCCUCUGACGUUAGCGGCGGACGGGUGAGUAACACGUGGAUAACCUACCUAUAAGACUGGGAUAACUUCGGGAAACCGGAGCUAAUACCGGAUAAUAUAUUGAACCGCAUGGUUCAAUAGUGAAAGACGGUUUUGCUGUCACUUAUAGAUGGAUCCGCGCCGCAUUAGCUAGUUGGUAAGGUAACGGCUUACCAAGGCAACGAUGCGUAGCCGACCUGAGAGGGUGAUCGGCCACACUGGAACUGAGACACGGUCCAGACUCCUACGGGAGGCAGCAGUAGGGAAUCUUCCCGAAUGGGCGAAAGCCUGACCGAGCAACGGCGCGUGAGUGAUGAAGGUUUUCGGAUCGUAAAACCCUGUUAUUAGGGAAGAAAAAAUGUGUAAGUAACUAUGCACGUCUUGACGGUACCUAAUCAGAAAGCCACGGCUAACUACGUG